CCUUCGAUAGCUCAGCUGGAAGAGCAUGGGACUGUAAAGGAAACCUGCGCAAUCCCAAGGUCACUGGUUCGACCCCAGUUUGGAGGA